rnacentral:rRNA from 1 species
AAUAGAUACCCCGGUAGUCCACGCCGUAAACGAUGGAUGCUAGCUGUUAUGAGUAUCGACCCUUGUAGUAGCGAAGCUAACGCGUUAAGCAUCCCGCCUGUGGAGUACGAGCGCAAGCUUAAAACAUAAAGGAAUUGACGGGGACCCGCACAAGCGGUGGAGCGUGUUGUUUAAUUCGAUGAUAAGCGAAGAACCUUACCAAGGCUUGACAUCCCUGGAAUUUCUCCGAAAGGAGAGAGUGCCUUCGGGAAUCAGGUGACAGGUGAUGCAUGGCCGUCGUCAGCUCGUGUCGUGAGAUGUUUGGUUAAGUCCAUCAACGAGCGCAACCCUUGUAAAUAGUUGAAUUUUUCUAUUUAGACUGCCUCGGUAACGGGGAGGAAGGAGGGGAUGAUGUCAGGUCAGUAUUUCCCUUACGCCUUGGGCUACAAACACGCUACAAUGGCCGGUACAAAGGGCAGCCAACCCGCGAGGGGGAGCAAAUCCCAUCAAAACCGGUCUCAGUUCGGAUAGCAGGCUGAAAUUCGCCUGCUUGAAGCCGGAAUCG